rnacentral:rRNA from 1 species
UUUAAAGUCUAAUCUGCUCAAUGAUUAUUUUAAAUUGCCGCAGUAUUUUAACUGUGCAAAGGUAGCAUAAUAAUUAGUUUCUUAAUUAGGAACUGGAAUGAAUGAUUGGACGAGAAUAUUACUGUCUCUUUUUAAAUUUUUAUUGAACUUUAUUUUUAAGUUAAAAAGCUUAAAUUUUUUUAAAAGACGAGAAGACCCUAUAGAGUUUAAUAUUUAAUUUAUUAUUUAAUUUUAGAAAUUUAUUUAAUGUUUAAGUAUUUAGUUGGGGUGACUUAAAGAUUAAAUAAAUUCUUUAAAAUUUUUAUUGAUGAUAAUUAAUUUAUAAAUCUAUAUUAUUAAAUUUAAAAUAAAUUACCUUAGGGAUAACAGCGUAAUUUUUCUUUAAAGUUCUUAUUAAAAGAAAAGUUUGCGACCUCGAUGUUGGAUUAAAAUUAAUUUUUGGUGCAGUAACUUAAAAAUUAGGUCUGUUCGACCUUUAAAAUUUUACAUGAUCUGAGUUUAAACCGGUGUAAGCCAGGUUGGAUUCUAUCUUUAAUUAAAUUUUAUAUUUUAGUACGAAAGGACCAAAUAUAAAUUAUAUAUUAAUUG